UACGUAGGGUGCGAGCGUUAAUCGGAAUUACUGGGCGUAAAGCGUGCGCAGGCGGUUAUUUAAGUCAGGUGUGAAAGCCCUGGGCUUAACCUAGGAAUUGCGCUUGAGACUGGAUAGCUUGGAGUGCGGCAGAGGGAGGUGGAAUUCCACGUGUAGCAGUGAAAUGCGUAGAGAUGUGGAGGAACACCGAUGGCGAAGGC
rnacentral:rRNA from 1 species